UACGUAGGGGGCAAGCGUUGUCCGGAUUUAUUGGGCGUAAAGAGCUCGUAGGCGGUUCCGUAAGUCGAGUGUGAAAAAUCUGGGCUCAACCCAGUGGAGCACUCGAUACUGCGGUGACUGGAGUACGGUAGAGGAGUGUGGAAUUCCUGGUGUAGCGGUGAAAUGCGCAGAUAUCAGGAGGAACACCAACGGCGAAGGCAGCACUCUGGGACGGUACUGACGCUGAGACGCGAAAGCGUGGGGAGCGAACAGG
rnacentral:rRNA from 1 species